rnacentral:tRNA from 1 species
AUAUAUAUAGUAUAAUUUAUUACAAUUAAUUUCCAAUUAAAAAAUUUAUUAUUUAUAAUAUAUAUAAUUUUUAAUUAUAUAUAUAUA